rnacentral:rRNA from 1 species
CGCAUCUGUGCAUGCAGCAUAUCAAUAAGCGGAGGAAAAGAAACUAACAAGGAUUCCCCUAGUAACGGCGAGUGAAGCGGGAAGAGCUCAAAUUUGAAAUCUUAAAGGGUUUCCCUUUACGAAUUGUAGUUUAAAGAAGUGUUUUCUGUUGAGGUUUUGGUAAAAGUUCUUUGGAAUAGGACAUCAUAGAGGGUGAGAAUCCCGUAUUUGACCUUUACUUUCAACUUUGUGAUACACUUUCAAAGAGUCGGAUUGUUUGGGAAUGCAGUCCAAAAUGGGUGGUAAAUUUCAUCUAAAGCUAAAUAUUGGCGAGAGACCGAUAGCGAACAAGUACCGUGAGGGAAAGAUGAAAAGAACUUUGAAAAGAGAGUUAAACAGUACGUGAAAUUGUCAAAAGGGAAGCGUUUGACACCAGUGUUGUUUUUCUGAAAAUCAAUUAAAGAACUGUUUAUGCUAAGUUGUUUAGACUUUAUCAGCUAUACUGCUUUAGUUUUGAGCUUUUCUUUAAUGCACUUUUCAGUUAACAAGUCAACAUCAAUUUCUUUUGCUGUAAAAAAGCUUGAGGAAGGUGGCUUGAGAUUCGUCUUAAGUGUUUAUAGCCUCUUGCCUAUGCAGUCGGAGAGAUUGAGGUCUGCAGCGUAGAUCCUUCGGGGCUAAAUGCAUUUGUGCUAAGUUAUAGCAUUUUAUAGACAACUUGUUGACUAUGAUUUGUCUUGUAGCUUACUCGCUUAUGUUAUUUUACCUACGCUUAGGAUGUUGAAGAUGUAGCACAUCAU